rnacentral:rRNA from 1 species
GUGUCAGCAGCCGCGGUAAUACGUAGGGAGCGAGCGUUGUCCGAAGUUACUGGGCGUAAAGCGCGCGUAGGCGGGCUGUUAAGUGAGAGGUGAAAGGCUGGGGCUCAACCCCAUGCAGUGCCUCUCAUACUGGCGGUCUUGAGUGCGGCAGGGAGAAGUGGAAUGGCUGGUGUAGCGGUGAAAUGCGUAGAUAUCAGUCGGAACACCGGUGGCGAAGGCGGCUUCUUGGGCCUUUACUGACGCUGAGGCGCGAAAGCUGGGGGAGCGAACGGGAUUAGAUACCCCGGUAGUCCCAGCCGUAAACGAUGGAUACUAGGUGUCGGGGGUAUCGACCCCUCCGGUGCCGCAGCUAACGCAUUAAGUAUCCCGCCUGGGGAGUACGGCCGCAAGGUUGAA